CGAUGGGAAUAUGAUGGGCUAUUUUCUGUUUACCCUGGACACUUGUUGGAGUUUGCCUUGGAAGUCAUGUGAGAGCUUCAGCAUUGUUGCAACAUCCUUUCCUCCCCUUCAGCUUCAAGGGGGCCGGGCUGCUGUGCCAGAGCUGACUGCUGUCACCACUUCACCUUUCAGGACCUUGUGCUGUGCUCCCACAUUAAAAGGUUCAAACCUAGUAACGAAGACACAACUUCUGCAGUGAGAAGCUUGACUUCAGAAAACUUGCUGAUGGGAGAAAGUAGCGACACCUGAGAGCAAUGAGUACUGAAGAGCUGUGUGUUUCAGCUUCUGCAAAGGUAAGAUGUAAAACCCUGAUCAGAAUUGGAAAAGGAAAGAGCU